AUUGAACGCUGGCGGCAGGCCUAACACAUGCAAGUCGAACGCGUGGCGGACGGGUGAGUAAUGUCUGGGAAACUGCCUGAUGGAGGGGGAUAACUACUGGAAACGAUAGCUAAUACCGCAUACCAUCGGAUGUGCCCAGGUGGGAUUAGCUAGUUGGUGGGGUAACGGCCUACAAGGGCGACGGUCCGUAACUGGUCUGAGAGGAUGAUCAGCCACACUGGAACUGAGACACGGUCCAGACUCCGAAGGGAGGCAGCAGUGGGGAAUAUUGGACAAUGGGCGAAAGCCUGAUCCAGCCAUGCCGCGUGUGUGAAGAAGGUCUUCGGAUUGUAAAGCACUUUAAGUUGGGAGGCGUUACCAACAGAAUAAGCACCGGCUAACUUCGUGCCAGCCGCCGCGGUAAUUC
rnacentral:rRNA from 1 species